AGUGAACGCUGGCGGCAGGCCUAAUACAUGCAAGUCGAACGGCAGCACAGCAGAGCUUGCUCUGUGGGUGGCGAGUGACGGACGGGUGAGGAAUACGUGGGAAUCUGCCCAGUCGUGGGGGAUAACGUAGGGAAACUUACGCUAAUACCGCAUGCGCCCUUCGGGGGAAAGCCGGGGACCUUCGGGCCUGGCGCGAUUGGAUGAGCCCACGUCGGAUUAGCUAGUUGGCGGGGUAAAGGCCCACCAAGGCGACGAUCCGUAGCUGGUCUGAGAGGAUGAUCAGCCACACUGGAACUGAGACACGGUCCAGACUCCUACGGGAGGCAGCAGUAGGGAAUAUUGGACAAUGGGCGCAAGCCUGAUCCAGCCAUGCCGCGUGAGUGAAGAAGGCCCUCGGGUUGUAAAGCUCUUUUGUCCGGAAAGAAAAGCGCCGGGUUAAUACCCUGGUGUCCUGACGGUACCGGAAGAAUAAGCACCGGCUAACUUCGUGCCAGCAGCCGCCGCGGUAA
rnacentral:rRNA from 1 species